GCCUGACUAACCCAACACCUUUUUGAGACUUGUUGAUCCCAACACCUUAUUGAGACUUGCUGAUCAGUCUGACUAACCCAAUAGCGUAUGGCUCAAGAGGUUCAAUAAUAUAAUAACACCUACUAACCAACAGAUAAAGUGCCAACAAGGAAAAAGUGGUCUCUGCUGAACGCAGAAGGCUACAGUCAAAUUAUCCUAUAUUUGGCCCAAAUGACACCCUGUUCCCUAUAAAGUGCACUACUUUUGAACUGGUCAUUUAGGGUGCCAUUUGGGAUUUAGCCAGAAGGAUAUAAUAAUGUGUAUUACAUUCAUUUAAAUAAAUUUAACUAAAGACAACAGGUCUCUCCCUAGACCAGUUACUGGUUACAGACAACAGGUCUCUCCCUAGACUAGUUAUAGGUUACAGACAACAGACUGCAACGCAGGGCUUGGGUCAAGAGAAGUGUUGUGUAGGAUGCCGUUUGAGGUGUGGCACUAUGGAAAGCAGCGUCUGGGAGGUCAAGGGUCAAAGACCACCCAGGCAGAGGUCAAGGGUGGGUGACCUCACUCUCUUUAACAGUACUCAACAUAGAGGGGGGCGGGAUCUGACUGAUGGGACAGGUUUCAACAGCCGGCGUCUGUGAUUGGACAGCUAUCCAUUCACUCACUCCCUGUGGGGAAUAACAUUGCACUGUCUGUCAAAUAAAUAUUCAACCUAGUCCACCCGGUUCUAUUGGAGAGAAAAGAUCAGAACAUUCCAGUUCCGUUGGAGAGAACAGAUGAGAACAUUCUGGUUACAUUUAACACACCAGAACAUUCUGGUUCUGUUGGAAGGAACACACCAGAACAUUCCGGUUCUGUUGGGGUGAACAAUUCAGAACAUUCCAGUUACAUUGGAUAGAAAAAAUCAGAAUAUUCUGAUUCUUUUCUCUGAUGGCAAUAAAGGCAAACUGGGGCAGAGACAAAACAAAAAUGACUCUUUUAUAGUCUCUUAACAGAGUACAUCUUCAAAAGCACACAAUGCCCAUUUAAAAAUAAAAAAAAAAAAAAAAAAAACCUAGGUGGUAUUUUGAGUCUGU
ensembl:lncRNA